rnacentral:rRNA from 1 species
GAUGAACGCUGGCGGCGUGCCUAAUACAUGCAAGUCGAGCGAACGGACGAGAAGCUUGCUUCUCUGAUGUUAGCGGCGGACGGGUGAGUAACACGUGGAUAACCUACCUAUAAGACUGGGAUAACUUCGGGAAACCGGAGCUAAUACCGGAUAAUAUUUUGAACCGCAUGGUUCAAAAGUGAAAGACGGUCUUGCUGUCACUUAUAGAUGGAUCCGCGCUGCAUUAGCUAGUUGGUAAGGUAACGGCUUACCAAGGCAACGAUGCAUAGCCGACCUGAGAGGGUGAUCGGCCACACUGGAACUGAGACACGGUCCAGACUCCUACGGGAGGCAGCAGUAGGGAAUCUUCCGCAAUGGGCGAAAGCCUGACGGAGCAACGCCGCGUGAGUGAUGAAGGUCUUCGGAUCGUAAAACUCUGUUAUUAGGGAAGAACAUAUGUGUAAGUAACUGCGCACAUCUUGACGGUACCUAAUCAGAAAGCCACGGCUAACUACGUGCCAGCAGCCGCGGUAAUACGUAGGUGGCAAGCGUUAUCCGGAAUUAUUGGGCGUAAAGCGCGCGUAGGCGGUUUUUUAAGUCUGAUGUGAAAGCCCACGGCUCAACCGUGGAGGGUCAUUGGAAACUGGAAAACUUGAGUGCAGAAGAGGAAAGUGGAAUUCCAUGUGUAGCGGUGAAAUGCGCAGAGAUAUGGAGGAACACCAGUGGCGAAGGCGACUUUCUGGUCUGUAACUGACGCUGAUGUGCGAAAGCGUGGGGAUCAAACAGGAUUAGAUACCCUGGUAGUCCACGCCGUAAACGAUGAGUGCUAAGUGUUAGGGGGUUUCCGCCCCUUAGUGCUGCAGCUAACGCAUUAAGCACUCCGCCUGGGGAGUACGACCGCAAGGUUGAAACUCAAAGGAAUUGACGGGGACCCGCACAAGCGGUGGAGCAUGUGGUUUAAUUCGAAGCAACGCGAAGAACCUUACCAAAUCUUGACAUCCUUUGACAACUCUAGAGAUAGAGCUUUCCCCUUCGGGGGACAAAGUGACAGGUGGUGCAUGGUUGUCGUCAGCUCGUGUCGUGAGAUGUUGGGUUAAGUCCCGCAACGAGCGCAACCCUUAAGCUUAGUUGCCAUCAUUAAGUUGGGCACUCUAAGUUGACUGCCGGUGACAAACCGGAGGAAGGUGGGGAUGACGUCAAAUCAUCAUGCCCCUUAUGAUUUGGGCUACACACGUGCUACAAUGGACAAUACAAAGGGCAGCGAAACCGUGAGGUCAAGCAAAUCCCAUAAAGUUGUUCUCAGUUCGGAUUGUAGUCUGCAACUCGACUACAUGAAGCUGGAAUCGCUAGUAAUCGUAGAUCAGCAUGCUACGGUGAAUACGUUCCCGGGUCU